rnacentral:rRNA from 1 species
UAGCGUAUAUUAAAGUUGUUGCAGUUAAAACGCUCGUAGUCGGAUUUCGGGGCGGGCCGACCGGUCUGCCGAUGGGUAUGCACUGGCCGGCGCGUCCUUCCACCCGGAGACCGCGCCUACUCUUAACUGAGCGGGCGCGGGAGACGGGUCUUUUACUUUGAAAAAAUCAGAGUGUUUCAAGCAGGCAGUCGCUCUUGCAUGGAUUAGCAUGGGAUAAUGAAAUAGGACUCUGGUGCUAUUUUGUUGGUUUCGAACACCGGAGUAAUGAUUAACAGGGACAGUCAGGGGCACUCGUAUUCCGCCGAGAGAGGUGAAAUUCUCAGACCAGCGGAAGACGAACCACUGCGAAAGCAGUUG